rnacentral:rRNA from 1 species
AUACGGAGGGUGCGAGCGUUAUUCGGAAUUACUGGGCGUAAAGCGCGUGCAGGCGGUUUGGCAAGUCUGAUGUGAAAGCCCCGGGCUUAACCUGGGAAGUGCAUUGGAAACUGCCGGACUUGAGUACUGGAGAGGAAGGGGGAAUUCCCGGUGUAGAGGUGGAAUUCGUAGAGAUCGGGAGGAAUACCAGUGGCGAAGGCGCCCUUCUGGACGGUUACUGACGCUGAGACGCGAAAGCGUGGGGAGCAAACAGGAUUAGAUACCCUGGUAGUCCACGCUGUAAACGAUGAGCACUAGGUGUAGCGGGUACUCAUUCCUGCUGUGCCGCAGCUAACGCGUUAAGUGCUCCGCCUGGGGAUUACGGUCGCAAGACUAAA